UAGUAACUGCGAGUGAAGCGGGAAAAGCUCAAAUUUAAAAUCUGGCAGUCUUUGGCUGUCCGAGUUGUAGUCUGGAGAAGCGUUUUCCGCGCUGGACCGUGUACAAGUCUCUUGGAACAGAGCGUCAUAGAGGGUGAGAAUCCCGUCUUUGACACGGACUACCAGUGCUUUGUGAUGCGCUCUCAAAGAGUCGAGUUGUUUGGGAAUGCAGCUCAAAAUGGGUGGUAAAUUCCAUCUAAAGCUAAAUAUUGGCGAGAGACCGAUAGCGAACAAGUACCGUGAGGGAAAGAUGAAAAGCACUUUGGAAAGAGAGUUAAACAGUACGUGAAAUUGCUGAAAGGGAAACGCUUGAAGUCAGUCGCGUCGUCUAGAACUCAACCUGGCUUUGCUUGGUGCAUUUUCUAGUUGACGGGCCAACAUCAGUUUUGACUGCUGGAAAAAAGCCUUUGGAAUGUGGCACCUUCGGGUGUGUUAUAGCCUUGGGUUGUAUACAGUGGUUGGGACUGAGGACCGCAGCACGCCUUAUGGCCGGGGUUCGCCCACGUACGUGCUUAGGAUGUUGGCGUAAUGGCUUUAAGCGACCCGUCUUGAAACACGGACCAAGGAGUCUAACAUACCUGCGAGUGUUUGGGUGGAAAACCCGAGCGCGUAAUGAAAGUGAAAGUUGGGAUCCCUGUCGUGGGGAGCACCGACGCCCAUACCAGACCUUCUGUGACGGAUAUGCGGUUGAGCAUGUAUGUUGGGACCCGAAAGAUGGUGAACUAUGCCUGAAUAGGGUGAAGCCAGAGGAAACUCUGGUGGAAGCUCGUAGCGAUUCUGACGUGCAAAUCGAUCGUCAAAUUUGGGUAUAGGGGCGAAAGACUAAUCGAACCAUCUAGUAGCUGGUUCCUGCC
rnacentral:rRNA from 1 species